GACGAACCGUGCAAACGUUAUUCGGAAUCACUGGGCUUAAAGGGCGCGUAGCGGAUUGCCAAGUCGGUGGUGAAAUCGUUCGGCCCAACCGGACAAGUGCCGCCGAUACUGGCAGUCUCGAGGGAGGUAGGGGGUCGAGGGGAACUGGUGGUGGAGCGGUGAAAUGCGUAGAUAUCACUAGGAACGCCGGUGGCGAAAGCGCUCGACUGGACCUCUUCUGACGCUGAGGCGCGAAAGCCAGGGGAGCAAACGGG
rnacentral:rRNA from 1 species